GGACGAACGCUGGUGGCAUGCUUCAGACAUGCAAGUUGAACGCUUUUUUCUUUUUAAGAAAGAGGAGUAGCGAACGGGUGAGUGACACGUGACUGACCUGCCCUCAAAUCUGGGAUAACCUUUUGAAAAGGAGGCUAAUACUGGAUAGUAUUGGGAGGUGAAGCUUCCAAUGGAAAGUGUUUUAGCGUUUGGGGAUGGGGUUGCGUUCCAUUAGCUUGUUGGUGGGGUAAAGGCUCACCAAGGCGAUGAUGGAGAGCGGUUCUGAGAGGGAGUACCGUCACACUGGAACUGAGACACGGUCCAGACUCCUACGGGAGGCAGCAGUCGGGAAUAUUGUUCAAUGGGGGCAACCCUGAAACAGCAAUGCCACGUGAGUGAAGAAGGUUUUCGGAUCGUAAAGCUCUUUUAUUGGGGAAGAGGUUGACAUGAACUGAUGAAGAAGCACCGGCUAACUACGUGCCAGCAGCCGCGGUAAUACGUAGGGUGCGAGCGUUGUUCGGAAUUACUGGGCGUAAAGGGCAUGUAGGCGGGGGAUCAAGCGAUGUGUGAAAUCCUGAGGCACAACUUCAGGCGUGCUUGUUGAACUGGUUUCCUAGAGAGGAUGAGAGGUUAGCGGAAUUUCCGGUGGAGAGGUGGAAUUCGUAGAGAUCGGAAGGAAUGUCGGUGGCGAAGGCGGCUGGCUGGCAUCACUCUGACGCUGAGGUGCGAAAGCGUGGGGAGCGAACAGGAUUAGAUACCCUGGUAGUCCACGCUGUAAACGAUGGAUACUAGAUGUUUUGAGUGUUAAAAGGCUUGGAGUGUCGUAGCUAACGCGUUAAGUAUCUCGCCUGGGGAGUACGGUCGCAAGACUAAAACUCAAAGGAAUUGACGGGGGCCCGCACAAGCGGUGGAACAUGUGGUUUAAUUCGACGCAACGCGAAGAACCUUACCCAGACUUGGCAUCCUGUGGUAGCUUUAGAGAUAGAGUGUUCUUUUCGGAGACACAGAGACAGGUGCUGCAUGGCUGUCGUCGGCUCGUGUUGUGAGAUGUUGGGUUAAGUCCCGCAACGAGCGCAACCCCUACUCUUAGUUGCUAGCAUGUGAUGAUGAGCACUUUAAGGGGACUGCCGGUGACAAGCCGGAGGAAGGUGGGGAUGACGUCAAGUCAUCAUGGCCUUGAUGUCUGGGGCUACACACGUGUUACAAUGGAAAUGACAGAGGGUUGCAAAAUUGUGAAAUGGAGCUAAUCCCUUAAAAGUUUUCUCAGUUCGGAUUGUAGUCUGCAACUUGACUGCAUGAAGUUGGAAUCGCUAGUAAUCGCAGAUCAGCAUGCUGCGGUGAAUACGUUCCCGGGCCUUGUACACACCGCCCGUCACACCAUGGGAGUGGAUUAGGGCAGAAGCCAUUGAACUAACCGUAAGGGGGUAGAUGUCUAAGCUCUAGUUGACGACUGGGGU
rnacentral:rRNA from 1 species